rnacentral:rRNA from 1 species
GAUGAACGCUGGCGGCGUGCCUAAUACAUGCAAGUCGAGCGAACAGACGAGGAGCUUGCUCCUCUGACGUUAGCGGCGGACGGGUGAGUAACACGUGGAUAACCUACCUAUAAGACUGUGAUAACUUCGGGAAACCGGAGCUAAUACCGGAUAAUAUAUUGAACCGCAUGGUUCAAUAGUGAAAGACGGUUUUGCUGUCACUUAUAGAUGGAUCCGCGCCGCAUUAGCUAGUUGGUAAGGUAACGGCUUACCAAGGCAACGAUGCGUAGCCGACCUGAGAGGGUGAUCGGCCACACUGGAACUGAGACACGGUCCAGACUCCUACGGGAGGCAGCAGUAGGGAAUCGUCCGCAAUGGGCGAAAGCUUGACGGAGCAACGCCGCGUGAGUGAUGAAGGUCUUCGGAUCGUAAAACUCUGUUAUUAGGGAAGAACAAAUGUGUAAGUAACUAUGCACGUCUUGACGGUACCUAAUCAGAAAGCCACGGCUAACUACGUG